rnacentral:rRNA from 1 species
GUGAGUCAUCAACUCGCAUUGAUUACGUCCCUGUCCUUUGUACACACCGCCCGUCGCUACUACCGAUUGAAUCAUUUGGUGAGGUCCACGGACUGUUGUGCGGCUUGGCUUGCCAAGACGUACUUCCUGGGAAGUGGCACGAACCUGAUGAUUUAGAGGAAGUAAAAGUCGUAACAAGGUUUCCGUAGGUGAACCUGCGGAAGGAUCA